AUCAGAGAAUCAUAAAGAAGACAAAGGCUCUAGUUUGAGUCUGGAAAUUGUUAAUGAUGAUGGUACUAAGUUCUGGUGGAGUUUGCAUGUAAGACAAAGCAUUGCAGACUGAGGUUACAGCAGGAAGUGCAUCUGGGUUCAAUGGUUGAUGUGUAA